rnacentral:lncRNA from 1 species
CUGCAUUUUGGGCCAUCAGGAAACUCAGGAUCAUGCAGGAAAAGGUUGAUGGGAGGGGACAAGAAAAGGCCAAGAACAGCAGGACACAAACGGCUUUGUCCUUCAUGCUGCCAAGACCUUCUCAUCCUCCUGGGCUGGUGACGUCAAAUCAAGGUCUGUGACAGGGCCAUAGAUGGAAUUAUAGAAUCAAAAGGAUGGGCAAGUGGAUGGGUGGAUAAACAAGUCAUGGCCGGUGCACCAAGUUGAAGGUGACUGAGGCAUUGAUACCGGGCCACGCCACACGCAAUCCUUAAAGACACUCGGCUGAGGGAAAGAAGGGGCGCAAUGGGGCACGUGUUGUGUGACUCCACGGCAUGAAAUACGUAGAGUAGGCAAAUUCAUAGAGCAGAAAACAGAUUGGUGGUUUCUGGGGAACAGGUGGAGGGGUAACGCAGAACAAGUGCUUAAGGGGAACUGAAUUUCCUCUUGAGGUGACAAAAACAUUACUUUGUUUAUUUUCUUUCACCUCUGGAAGUAGAGGUGAUGGUUACAUAAUAUCAUGAAUGUAUUUGAUGACACUGAAUUGUUUCCUUUAAAAUGGUUCAUUUUAUGUCACAGGAAUCUUACCUCAAUUAAAAAAAAUAAAAGGUAGACAGGGUCCCAGGAGGUCAAGCAGGGUACCUCACGCCUUCCACACUGUCUUUACUCCCUACAGCUGAAGUCCCAGGUACUGGGUGACAUUCACCUAAUUUCAUUACUUUCUUUGUUUUCUUUCACCUCCCCAAACAAUGGCGUCCUUUAUGUUGCAGGAACACCUUGAAGCUGUCCCAGCCUCAGGACCUUUGCACUGCUGUUUUUUCUUCUUUCACCAGGUCUCCAUUAGCCUGGCUCCUUCUGCUCAUUCAGAUCUCAACUCAAAGUUUUCUUUUCCAGUGAGGACUUUCCUGAACCUCUUACUGAAAGUACCCACCCCACCAGUCAUUCUCCAUCUCUGUAUUGGUCACCUUGCUGGCCUCUUAGAGGAUAUGGAAAUCAAUUUGGUAGGUCUUGAUUAACAUUUUUAAAAAUCAAACAAGGCCAAGCAUCGUGGUGCACACCUGUAAUCCCAGCUGCUAAAGAGGCUGAGGCAGAGGAUUGCAAGUAUGACAAGUUCGAAAUCAACCUGGGCAACUUAGUGAGACCCUGUCUCAAAAUAUAUAUAUAUGUAUAUAUAUGUAUAUAUGUGUGUAUGUGUGUGUGUGUGUGUGUAUAUAUAUAUAUAUAUAUAUAUAUAUAUAUAUAUAUAUAUAGAGAGAGAGAGAGAGAGAGAGAGAGAGAGAGAGAUUGAACCCAGGGUCACUUAACCACUAAAGACACAUUCCCAGCCUUUUUUAUUUUAUAACAGAGUCUUGCUAAGUUGCUUAGGGCCUUGCUAAGUUACUGAGUCUGGUCUUGAGCUUGUGAUCCUCCUACCUCAGCCUCCUAAGUCACUGGGAGUGUAGGUAUGUACCACUGAACCUGGCAAAAUAUAAAAUUUUAUAAAGGUCUGUGGACGUAGCUCAAUGGUAGAGCACCUCUGGGUUCAAUUCCUAGUUAAAAAAAAAAAAAAAGAGGGAGGGGAGAAGAAGUUUUUUGCUUCCUAGUAAAUUGCUCCAAAUGUUUUGACUUAAUCAACAAUUCCCUGCGCCCCAGCCCCAAGUCUGUGGGUGAGCCAGGCUCAGCUGGGCUGCUCUUCUGCUCCUCACGGAUCUUCUGGGGUCACUCACAGGCAUCCACUGUGAACUCUGCUGGGGUCAGGCUUCCCUCCUGUCCCAGCUUAGUGCUGGCUGCUAUUUCGGUUUCAGGGAACAUUCUCAUCCCCCAUCAUUCCAUGGUCUGAGCCGAGCUCUGUACUUGUACCAUGAGCAUGAAAGUGGAAGCCACCAGGCCUCCUCAAGCCAAGGCCCAGACCAGGCACAGAGUGGCUUCUGCUGCGUUGUAGUGGCCAAGGCAAGUUCACAAGAGCUGACCAGAUUCCAGGGAAGGAGAGCCGGCCCCCACCUCUUGAUGACAGAGCAGCCUGACUGUAGCUAUCUUUGCAAAUGAUCUAUGGCGAUUGUUUUGUGAAAGUUUUAUUUCAGUCUAAUGGACAUUCAUGUGUGUGCGCUGUGGCCCACGAUAAACAUUUCUUUAAAAUAUUUUUUUCAUAGCACUGAGGGUUCUCUGAACUUUGUUUACUUUAUUAUAUGUCUCACCCAUUGGAAUAGAAACUUCCUGAAGGCAGGAUCUUGUCUUGUUCAUUGCCAUAUUUCCAACACCUAACAAGGAUUAGCACUUAAUAGGUGCUUAAUAAACCUCUGUUGUUCUUGAGUAGAUUGUUGUUGGAUCAGUUAUCAUUUCUUGGGUGCUAAGCACUGAAAAAUAUUAUCUCAUGUAACUUGUUCUGUACAUAUUUGAGUGCCUACUGUAUGCCAGGCAUUAUUUGAGCUACUGUUGCAACAACAGGGAAUAAAAUAGACACUUAAUAUAGAUUCACUAUAACACCAGGGGAGAAUCGAACAGACAAGGAAACUGUCAGAGUGGUCAGGCACCUUGUCCAAGGUCGCACAACUAAUACCUUUACCCUGACACCUGGAUCCCCUUCACUCUGCUGUGGUUGUUGGAUUUCACCCAGAAAUGAUCCUACAUUGUUACGGGUCUCAACUCCUGCUCUUGCUUCUUGGAAGGAUCAAACUCGUACUUCUGGGAAUCAGACCCAGGGCAGUGGGAACGAGAAAGUCCCAUGACCUCAGAGUCUGUGCUCCCCCCAGCGCCCCCCCCCCAUCCAUGAUGAUGGCUCACACCUGGGGUGUUGCAGAUUUGAGCCACAGAUCUCAGUCACCCCCACUGUCUUAUCAACAUGUGACAUCCCCAAGUGGCUGGGGCCUGUAGGCCCGGUAAAGAAUGCAGCCUGGGUAAAAAUAAACCUGCCACAUUCUUUGGCAGCCCCCUGCCCCUUCCCUCUCUGCAGCCAUCCAUCCGGGCAGCAGAGUCUGCCAGGGAAGGCAGAGAGGGAGAAAUGGGUGGAGGAAGCAAGUGGUGUUGCUGUCCAGCCCUGAGAAAGAGAGGGAGAGAGGGAGGGAGAGGGAGGAGAGGGAGGAGAAGGAGGAGAGGGAGGAGAGGGAGAGAGAUCACCUUAUAUGGGAACAUGCGCAGACAAUAUGUGGCAAGGGCUGAGAGGGCAGCACAGGUCAGAUACCAGACAGAUGGAAGAAAUUAAACAUGGACAGAGCGUGUUCCCCGGCCCUGAAAACAGCUCUUGUUUCACAGCAUGGCCCCACAAAGCCUGGCCCGGUUUCCUUUUUUUGCCUAAGCCAGCAAGAUGUGUGUCCUAAACUCCAUAGGACUUUAAUUCAGACCCCAGCUCCGUGGCUUGGCUGGCAGAGGUCUCAGGCCAUUUCUUUGACAAACCAAAUUCCUCAUUGAAAAGCAAAAGGAAAAGACCUAUUUCUCAAGAGUUUUCAAUUUCUCUCCAAAGCACACAAGUGAGUGGUUCUUGAUUAGAUGACUUUUCAUUUCUCAUUCAUUCAUUCAAAUAAUACAGAGGACUGAUCCUCAUGUUUGGAGCCAGGAGUUGGAAACGCGGUGUUAAUGAUGGUAAUGAUAGUUAUGGCUCCUUGAUCUGCUCUUAUUUGAUCAAUAUUUCAACAAUUCUUAAUGAUUUCCUUAGUACCUUCCAUGGUCCAGUCAUUGAUGAUACCAGACACAGGUCCACCCCCAUGGGGUUUAGAAGGAGACUGAGGGAAGCCAGCAACGUCAGAUGUCGAGCAAACGGCCCUACUGGGAUCUCACAGUGGCCCUGUGCUGGUCCCAUCAUGGUCUCCAUUGAACUCAGGGGUUUUCGGCCUCACCCUACAGACAGUCAGUGCUGGCUGGGUCCUGGCCAUGCAUGUGCUGCUCUGUGCGUCACAGGGUAUUUGGCAGGAUCUCCGGCCUCCACCCACCAGUAGCAGCCACCUCCUUUUCUCCCAGUUGUGACAAACAAAAAAAAUGCCUCCAUAUAUUGCCAAGUGUCUCCUGGGGGCAAAGUGGCUUCCAGUUGAGAAUCACUGACUCCGCUGAUGAGGAAGCAGAGACUCAGUGUGGGUGAAGAAACCUCUUACAGGCCAUUCCACUGGUGGGUAGGAUCCACACCCGCAUUAUCUGAUUUCAGAACCUAUGAUCCUCGCCAUGACAGUGUGAAGCCCCGUUCCCUUCACAACAGAUGGCUGUGAGCUUGGAUGGCUGUCAACCUCAUUCCACAAAACACACAUUCUGUAUUCAUCCGGAUCCUCUGAAAAGCAGAUGUCAAGAUGGGCUUCCACUUGCAGGAACCCAUUGAGGGAAUGCCUGUGAGCGCUGGGUGGAAGCAGGAGUGGGUGGGAGAGCCUGAGACUGACAUGCAGGCUGCACCUGGGAAGCAGGUGGGAAGGAAGCAGUGGGUGGGCGGAGCCUCUGACGGCAGCCCUGUGCAGAGAAGGUUUUGGCUGGGUGGGCCCUGCGGGGCAGGCACCCUUAAGAGGAAUCCAAGAUCGGGCAGCAAAGGGGCUGCACAAGGACUUGCCCUGUGCUCGGUCCUUGGCUGGGAGCAGCCUGGAAAGCGUGGCCUUGGCAUGAAGUUGGCAGAUCCAGAGGGACAGGAGGAAGGACGGUGGCCACCAGGCCACAUCACCAAAGCAUUGUCCAAUAGCUUCGUUUACCUUUAGCAACGAGACUAAAAAGGCACCUACAGUGUGGUGAGUGACAGAGACAGUGGGCAUCUUGAAGCACUGUCUUGAGGGUUUUUUGGUUUUUUUUUUCAGUACUCUACGACUGAGGAACAUCCCUAGUGCCCAUCCCUACCUAGUGCCCUCUCCUAGCCUCCACCAUACCUGGGCUGUCCAGAGCCUCUGCAUGACCUUUAGAGCCAGCUCCAGCUCAAUGGCCACCAGUGAGCAGUGAAGAAUACAGUCUCCAGGGACGACUUUCCAGUAGCCUGGACAGAAAGGCACUUGGUGAGCCUUUGUUCCUAUCUGCAUGUCGGGGCUAACCCACCGGAUGGCGGGAGGACUGAAUGACUGCAUGUGAAAGUGUGUGGAAUGACUGCACAUCUCUUUCCAGAGGAGGGUAGAUGAACUGUGUCCAUUCCUCAGUAUUAUAAGAACGUUUCCCAGCCGGCCAUUCUCUCCCCCUUCCAACUAGGAGUCAUCUCUGCAUCUACACAAGAAAGCACUAAUGAGCAUUUCCAUGCCCUAAAUUUGACAGAUAGCUAAAUAGUAUUGGAUCACAGAUUUUUUUUUAAAGGAUCCAGCAUUAAAAGUUAAGAUAUUUCAUGUAAGAAUCUAGGUGGCCAAAAGCAGGAUUAAAGACUUGGCAUCUCUGCUUCCAUUUUGCACCUGUGUCCUUUGCACCUUGGAUUCUGGGAUAAAGACCUGAUGGAUGAGCAUCCUGUGGGGAAUGGAAGCUACCCGGCAGGCAACAGCCACUUUCUUAUCAUGGACAGGGCUCUGCCGGGCCAAUCACCCAGUCAAGAUGAACCAGACCACACCUGAUGGAGAUCACCUGUUUGGCAGCUACGAAAAGUCUCCAGCUGUGCAAACCUCCAACCCUUGCCCUCCUUUCCUCCCUAUAAAUCUUCAAAGUCAUCAUCAGCUCCUUGAGGUUGGGCUGAGCACAACAUAAGGAUGUGGGUCCCCUUUUCUUUCUGUUGUAGCCACAUUGAUUAAAGUUCUCUUCAUAUUUUCACCAUUACCUUUUC